rnacentral:rRNA from 1 species
UGAGCAAUCUGCCCUUCUCAUCGGAAUAAGCGUUGGAAACGACGUCUAAUGCCGAAUACGACCUCCUUUCGCAUGAUCGGAGGUGGAAAGCUCCGGCGGAGAAGGAUGGGCUCGCGGCCUAUCAGCUAGUUGGUGUGGGUAAUGGCCCACCAAGGCGACGACGGGUAGCCGGCCUGAGAGGGUGACCGGCCACACUGGGGCUGAGACACGGCCCAGACUCCUACGGGAGGNAGCG